GAUGAGAUGGCUGAGAGGUCAAGGCAAUGGACUGCUAAUCCAUUGUGCGUUGCACACGUAAGUUCAAUCCCAUUCUCGUUG
rnacentral:tRNA from 1 species